ACGCUCGACACCUACGGGAGUCAGCAGUGAGGAAUAUUGCACAAUGGGGGAAACCCUGAUGCAGCAACGCCGCGUGAAGGAAGAAGGUUUUCGGAUCGUAAACUUCUAUCAAUAGGGACGAAAGAAAUGACGGUACCUAAAUAAGAAGCCCCGGCUAACUACGUGCCAGCAGCCGCGGUAAUCUGAGCGGGCUGGCAAGGC
rnacentral:rRNA from 1 species